GACGAACGCUGGCGGCGUGCUUAACACAUGCAAGUCGAACGGAAAGGCCCUGCUUUUGUGGGGUGCUCGAGUGGCGAACGGGUGAGUAACACGUGAGUAACCUGCCCUUGACUUUGGGAUAACUUCAGGAAACUGGGGCUAAUACCGGAUAGGAGCUCCUGCUGCAUGGUGGGGGUUGGAAAGUUUCGGCGGUUGGGGAUGGACUCGCGGCUUAUCAGCUUGUUGGUGGGGUAGUGGCUUACCAAGGCUUUGACGGGUAGCCGGCCUGAGAGGGUGACCGGCCACAUUGGGACUGAGAUACGGCCCAGACUCCUACGGGAGGCAGCAGUGGGGAAUAUUGCACAAUGGGCGGAAGCCUGAUGCAGCAACGCCGCGUGCGGGAUGACGGCCUUCGGGUUGUAAACCGCUUUCGCCUGUGACGAAGCGUGAGUGACGGUAAUGGGUAAAGAAGCACCGGCUAACUACGUGCCAGCAGCCGCGGUGAUACGUAAGGUGCGAGCGUUGUCCGGAUUUAUUGGGCGUAAAGGGCUCGUAGGUGGUUGAUCGCGUCGGAAGUGUAAUCUUGGGGCUUAACCCUGAGCGUGCUUUCGAUACGGGUUGACUUGAGGAAGGUAGGGGAGAAUGGAAUUCCUGGUGGAGCGGUGGAAUGCGCAGAUAUCAGGAGGAACACCAGUGGCGAAGGCGGUUCUCUGGGCCUUUCCUGACGCUGAGGAGCGAAAGCGUGGGGAGCGAACAGGCUUAGAUACCCUGGUAGUCCACGCUGUAAACGGUGGGUACUAGGUGUGGGGUCCAUUCCACGGGUUCCGUGCCGUAGCUAACGCUCUAAGUACCCCGCCUGGGGAGUACGGCCGCAAGGCUAAAACUCAAAGGAAUUGACGGGGCCCCGCACAAGCGGCGGAGCAUGCGGAUUAAUUCGAUGCAACGCGUAGAACCUUACCUGGGUUUGACAUGGAUCGGGAGUGCUCAGAGAUGGGUGUGCCUCUUUUGGGGUCGGUUCACAGGUGGUGCAUGGCUGUCGUCAGCUCGUGUCGUGAGAUGUUGGGUUAAGUCCCGCAACGAGCGCAACCCUUGUUCACUGUUGCCAGCACGUUAUGGUGGGGACUCAGUGGAGACCGCCGGGGUCAACUCGGAGGAAGGUGGGGAUGACGUCAAGUCAUCAUGCCCCUUAUGUCCAGGGCUUCACGCAUGCUACAAUGGCUGGUACAGAGAGUGGCGAGCCUGUGAGGGUGAGCGAAUCUCGGAAAGCCGGUCUCAGUUCGGAUUGGAGUCUGCAACUCGACCUCAUGAAGUCGGAGUCGCUAGUAAUCGCAGAUCAGCAACGCUGCGGUGAAUACGUUCCCGGG
rnacentral:rRNA from 1 species